rnacentral:rRNA from 1 species
CCCAGACUCCUACGGGAGGCAGCAGUGAGGAAUAUUGGUCAAUGGGCGGAAGCCUGAACCAGCCAAGUCGCGUGAGGGAUUAAGGCCCUGCGGGUCGUAAACCUCUUUUGCCGGGGAGCAGUGGUCCGGACGCGUCCGGACCGGGAGAGUACCCGGAGAAAAAGCAUCGGCUAACUCCGUGCCAGCAGCCGCGGUAAUACGGAGGAUGCGAGCGUUAUCCGGAUUUAUUGGGUUUAAAGGGUGCGUAGGCGGGCAUUUAAGCCGGCGGUAAAAUGUGGGGGCUCAACCCCGGCCUGCCGUCGGAACUGGGUGCCUUGAGUGGGCGAGAAGUAUGCGGAAUGCGUGGUGUAGCGGUGAAAUGCAUAGAUAUCAGGAGGAACACCGGCGGCGAAGGCGGCCUGCUGGACCGCGACUGACGUUGAGGCUCGAAAGCGUGGGGAGCGAACAGGAUUAGAUACCCUCGUAA